rnacentral:ncRNA from 1 species
UAUGAUAGAGGUCGCAUUUUUUAUCAGUAGCUUUCGGGAUGCAGCAGGUGCAUGAGAACGGAAGUGAAAGGAAACGAUGCCGAAAGGAAAAGUAUCCUGCAUAUUUUUUCUUGGGCAUGCAGCAAACAGCUGUAUGACUGUCAUCAGAACAUGAUGGGGAGCUAUCG